UACGUAGGGUGCGAGCGUUGUCCGGAAUUAUUGGGCGUAAAGAGCUCGUAGGUGGUUUGUCGCGUCUGCCGUGAAAACCCGAGGCUUAACCUCGUGGCUUGCGGCGGAUACGGGCAGACUAGAGGUAGGUAGGGGAGAAUGGAAUUCCCGGUGUAGCGGUGAAAUGCGCAGAUAUCGGGAGGAACACCGGUGGCGAAGGCGGU
rnacentral:rRNA from 1 species